GAUGAAGAACGCAGUGAAAUGCGAUAAGUAAUGUGAAUUGCAGAAUUCAGUGAAUCAUCGAAUCUUUGAACGCACAUUGCGCCCGCCAGUAUUCUGGCGGGCAUGCCUGUUCGAGCGUCAUUACAACCCUCAGGCCCCCGGGCCUGGCGUUGGGGAUCGGCGGAAGCCCCCUGCGGGCACAACGCCGUCCCCCAAAUACAGUGGCGGUCCCGCCGCAGCUUCCAUUGCGUAGUAGCUAACACCUCGCAACUGGAGAGCGGCGCGGCCACGCCGUAAAACACCCAACUUCCGAAUGUUGACCUCGAAUCAGGUAGGAAUACCCGCUGAACUUAAGCAUAUCAAUAAGCGGAGGA
rnacentral:misc_RNA from 1 species